ACUAAUUUCUAAUUAUCAAAGCAAAACACUUGAAUAUGAGUGUUUAAUAUAAGAUUAAAUUUUGUCUUAAAAGAUCAGGACGUCACUAUUAAUUAAAUUUUUAUUAUCAGGAUUAUUUCUCCUGUUUCUAUCAGUGGACGUUUCACAAAUACUGAGGGACGCUGCACCACCGGUACACCACCCACCACCAGAGCAAACACACAGGAAGGAGUUCGCCUUCUGAUACCGGCCCUGUUAGACGCUCAUCGGCGGCGACGGAAAAAAGCUCAGCGGCAGACUGUGUGCGGGAGGACGGCGGCGUGUCGGGAUGCAGAAGUCUGUGUCAGCUCAGCUCCAGACCGUUUGAAUGAAGCUUCAAUCUUAUCAGA